CCCUCCUUUGAAACUUUAAGAAGUUUCACAGUCCAGAAUCUGAGUGGUAGAUUGUUUCAUCUCACUUAACACAUUUCUUAGUCCUGGUAAUAGAUCAGUCCAGUUAAAGUCAUUUUAGAAGGCGGGACUGUGGGGACCUGAAAUUGGCCACCCCAAGAUAUGUCUCUUUGGCAUCAGGAUUAUUUGAGGCUGAUUGAUUUUGAUAAACUGGGACAGGGAAGGAGGCUCUGAGGAAUGGAAUUUGCCCUUCGUUAGGACACAUUUACAUUUGUAAGGUAAAUCUCUAUCUGCAAAAGGUGCCCCCACUCUCUGUACCAGGAAGAUGAAAGGAGAUGAUCUUCUCUCUAGAAACUCUUAAUCAAUACCAAAGGCAAGGACUUAAAUCUGCAUUUUAUUGUGCUUCUCUGGUAACCUCCUGUAACUGACUUCCCUCCCCCUCCAACGUUGGCAUUUCUUUAAGGAUUAAGCAUCUUUCCUUAGGCUAGGAACUGAUUGUUGCGCUCACUUGUGACCGCCCAGCUCCAGAGGAUAGACUUUCCUCCUGCUACGCCCACUGAGAUAGCAGACCACUACCUGCUGUGUCCAUCAAGCACUGUGCUGACAGGGCAAUCUUGUGACUAUUGUGGGAGCGACAUUUCAAUCACAUGUGAAACACCCCAUUUAGGGGUAUCUAACCACUCUGUGCACCCCAGUUCUUCGGUGCCCUUUCUUCCUUUGGGAAGAAAGGCCCUGGGCCAUGGUUCCUCAUAAAGCUUUGUUUAAUUUUCUCUUGCUAUUCUUUCUCAUGUGAAUUUAAUUCAUUCUCCGGCCAGAUGAACCCCCAUUUGGGAAGAGGAAAUGUCUUCCUCCCCUACACUAACUUCCUGUCUCAGACACCCUAACUUCUUAGGUUUGUUGUAACAAUUCCUCUUUGCCUCUGAGUUCUUAUGUAACACUCUCCUUUGCAUGUCUGAUGUCAUGGGUAAAAUUCCACCUGGCAUCUCUGGCUUUGUGUGUCACACUCCCUAUGGUGUCUCUGACUUGGUCUGUCACACUCCUCCUGGUACCUGUGACUUCAUGUGUCACACUUCCCCUUGUUUCUCUGACUACAUGUGUCACAAUCUCCCUGCCCUCUUUACCAUCAUAUGUAACACUCCCAAUUGUAUCUUUGACUUGUGUCACACUUUGUGUGGCGUCUCUGACUUCGUGUGACACUCCACCUGGUUUCUCUUACAUCGUGUGUAAUACUCCACAUGGCAUCUUUGACUUCAUGCUUAACACACCUCCUGAUGUAUAUGUCAUCAUGUGUAACACUUCUCUUUUAUUCUCUGACUUCAUGUGCGACACUCCACCUAUCUUCUCUGACUUAGUGUGUACAAUUCUGUGGCAUCUAUGACUUCCUCUUUCACACACUCCAUAAUGUCUCUAACUUCCUGUGCCACACUGCCCCUGGCAUUUCUGAAUUCGUGUGUCACACUCCCCUGUUUUCUCAGACUUCAUGUAUAAUAAUCCCCCUUUUGUUUCUGAGUGUGUGUUACACUCCCGCUGGCAUCUCUCACUUUGUUUAUAACAGUCCACCUGGCAUCUCUGUCUACGUGGAUCGCAAUCCCUCUGGCAUCUAUGAAUUUGUGUGUUACACUCCCCCUUGAGUCUGUGACUUUUUGUAUCACAAUUCCCCAGGUAUCUUUGACUUUGUGUAUAACAAUCCACAUGCCAUCUCUGAGGUCAUGAGUCACACUCUGCCUGGCAUCCCUGACUUUGUGUAUCACACGCUCCCUGGUGCCUCUGACUUUGCAUGUAACACAACCUGUGGUGCCUCUGACUCCAUGUGUCACACUCCCUUGGUGUCUCUGAGUAUCUGUGUCACAUUCCCCUGUCAUCUAUAACAUCAUAUGUAAGAAUGCCACUGGCUUCUCAGAGUUUGUGUAUAACACUCCACGUGGCACCUCCAACUUUUUGUUUGACACUCUCCCUGUUUCCUUUGGCUUUUUGCUUAACACCACCCAUUGGCAUCUUUGACUUUGUGCAUCACAUGCUCCCUGUUGUCUCAUACUUCAUGUGUCACACUCCCCUAUGUCAUCUCUGACUGCCUGUGUAUCUUUCCCUGAUGCAUCUCUGAGUCUGAGUCCCACUAUACAUGUCAUCUUUGAUUUCAUGUGUCACAUUCCCUGUGGAAUCUCUGGCAUCCUGUGGAACACUUGCGCUGGUGUCUCUGAUUCAUGUGUAACACUCCCCUUGUAGUCAGUGACUUUUCUGAAACACUCCAGCUGUUGUCUCUGACUCUGUGCCUCACACUCACUAUGGCAUCACUGACUCCAUGUGUCACACCCCAAAUUUCAAAUCUGACUUUGGGUCUCACACACCCGAUGUUGUCUGUCAUUGUGUGAUACAAUACCCCUCUCAUCUCUGACAUCAUGUAUAAAACUCCCCCUGGAGUCUUUGAUUUCAUGUGUCACAUUCCCCAUGUUGUAUCUGACUUCGUGUGUCACUCUCCUGCUUGUGUCUCUGACUUAAUGUGUAACAUUCUUAACCUGUCUCAUACUUUAAGUUUCACACUCUACCUAUUGUCUCUGACUUCGUGUGUCACAUUCUGUGGAGUCUCUCUGAGUUCCUGCAUAACACUCCCCCUGGCGUCUCUGACUUUGUGUGUAACUCUCCUGAUGUCAUCUCUGAUAUUGUGUGUUAAACACUCCCUGGCGUCUUUUACUUGGGGCACCAAAUUCCUCUUGGCGCCUCUGACUUCAUGUUUCACACUCCCCCUGGCGUCUCUCACUUCAUGUGUUAUACUCUCACUGGCAUCUCAGAAUUCAUGUGUAACACUCCAUGUUAUGUCUCUGCCUUCAUGUGUCAAUGAUGCCUAGCAUCUCGGACUGCAUGUGUAACACUCACCAUGGCAUCUCUGAGUUCCUUUGUAAGACUCCCUCUGGUGUCUAUGACUUCUUGUGUAACAAACCUGGAAUCUUUCACUGGGUGUUUAACACUCCCCCAGGCAUCUCUGAAUUCCUGUAU
rnacentral:lncRNA from 1 species